rnacentral:rRNA from 1 species
CCUACGGGUGGCAGCAGUGAGGAAUAUUGGUCAAUGGGCGCGAGCCUGAACCAGCCAAGUCGCGUGAGGGAAGACGGUCCUAUGGAUUGUAAACCUCUUUUGUCGGGGAGCAAAAGACGCCACGCGUGGCGUUCCGAGAGUACCCGAAGAAAAAGCAUCGGCUAACUCCGUUCCAGCAGCCGCGGUAAUACGGAGGAUUCGAGCGUUAUCCGGAUUUAUUGGGUUUAAAGGGUGCGCAGGCGGAAGAUCAAGUCAGCGGUAAAAUUGAGAGGCUCAACCUCUUCGAGCCGUUGAAACUGGUUUUCUUGAGUGAGUGAGAAGUAUGCGGAAUGCGUGGUGUAGCGGUGAAAUGCAUAGAUAUCGAGAGGAACACUCGUGGCGAAGGCGGGUUCCUGGACAUUAACUGACGCUGAGGCACGAAGGCCAGGGGAGCGAAAGGGAUUAGAUACCCCGGUAGUC